GACGGAGGAUGCAAGUGUUAUCCGGAAUCACUGGGCGUAAAGCGUCUGUAGGUGGUUCGAAAAGUCCACUGUUAAAAAUUGAGGCUUAACUUCAAAGAUGCCGUGGAAACUUUCAAACUAGAGUAUGGUAGGGGUAGAGGGAAUUUCCAGUGGAGCGGUGAAAUGCGUAGAUAUCGGAAGGAACACCGGUGGCGAAAGCGGCGCGCUGGACCGGUAUUGACGCUGAGGCGCGAAAGCUAGGGGAGCAAACGGG
rnacentral:rRNA from 1 species